CGGACGGGUAGUAACGCGUGAGAACAUGCCUUUAGAUUGGGACAACAGUUGGAAACGACUGCUAAUACCGAAUGUGCCUUAGGGUGAAAGAUUUAUUUGUCUAGAGAUUGGCUCGCGUCAGAUUAGCUAGUUGGAGUGGUAACGGCACACCAAGGCGACGAUCUGUACUUGGUCUGAGAGGAUGACCAGGCACACUGGAACUGAGACACGGUCCAGACUCCUACGGGAGGCAGCAGUGGGGAAUUUUCCGCAAUGGGCGAAAGCCUGACGGAGCAAUACCGCGUGAGGGAGGACGGCUUUUGGGUUGUAAACCUCUUUUAUCAGGGAAGAAUCGAUGACGGUACCUGAUGAAUCAGCAUCGGCUAACUCCGUGCCAGCAGCCGCGGUAAUACGGAGGAUGCAAGCGUUAUCCGGAAUUAUUGGGCGUAAAGCGUCCGUAGGUGGUUUAUCAAGUCUGCUGUCAAAGCGUGCGGCUUAACCGCAUAAGGGCAGUGGAAACUGAUGAACUAGAGUGCGAUAGGGGUAACAGGAAUUCCCAGUGUAGCGGUGAAAUGCGUAGAUAUUGGGAAGAACACCAGCGGCGAAAGCGUGUUACUGGGUCUGCACUGACACUGAGGGACGAAAGCUAGGGGAGCGAAUGGGAUUAGAUACCCCUGUAGUCCUAGCCGUAAACGAUGACAACUAGGCGUGGUUCGCAUCGACCCGAGCCGUGCCGUAGCCAACGCGUUAAGUUGUNNGCCUGGGGAGUACGCACGCAAGUGUGAAACUCAAAGGAAUUGACGGGGGCCCGCACAAGCGGUGGAGUAUGUGGUUUAAUUCGAUGCAACGCGAAGAACCUUACCAAGGCUUGACAUCCUCGGAACCCUGAUGAAAGUUAGGGGUGCCUUCGGGAGCCGAGAGACAGGUGGUGCAUGGCUGUCGUCAGCUCGUGUCGUGAGAUGUUGGGUUAAGUCCCGCAACGAGCGCAACCCACGUUUUUAGUUGCCAGCAUUCAGUUGGGCACUCUAGAGAGACUGCCGGUGACAAACCGGAGGAAGGUGUGGAUGACGUCAAGUCAGCAUGCCCCAUACGCCUUGGGCUACACACGUACUACAAUGCGUCGGACAAAGAGCAGCCAGCCAGCGAUGGUGAGCCAAUCUCAUAAACNNANGCUCAGUUCAGAUUGCAGGCUGCAACUCGCCUGCAUGAAGGCGGAAUCGCUAGUAAUCGCAGGUCAGCAUACUGCGGUGAAUACGUUCCCGGGCCUUGUACACACCGCCCGUCACACCAUGGGAGUUGGUCACGCCCGAAGUCGUUACUCUAACUGCUUGCAGAGGAGGACGCCGAAGGUGGGGCUGAUGGCUGGGGUGAAG
rnacentral:rRNA from 3 species